rnacentral:rRNA from 1 species
GAUGAACGCUGGCGGCGUGCCUAACACAUGCAAGUCGUGCGAUUCUCUUCGGAGAAGAGCGGCGGACGGGUGAGUAACGCGUGGGUAACCUACCCUGUACACACGGAUAACAUACCGAAAGGUAUGCUAAUACGAGAUAAUAUGCUUUUAUCGCAUGGUAGAAGUAUCAAAGCUCCGGCGGUACAGGAUGGACCCGCGUCUGAUUAGCUAGUUGGUAAGGUAACGGCUUACCAAGGCGACGAUCAGUAGCCGACCUGAGAGGGUGAUCGGCCACAUUGGAACUGAGACACGGUCCAAACUCCUACGGGAGGCAGCAGUGGGGAAUAUUGCACAAUGGGCGAAAGCCUGAUGCAGCAACGCCGCGUGAGCGAUGAAGGCCUUCGGGUCGUAAAGCUCUGUCCUCAAGGAAGAUAAUGACGGUACUUGAGGAGGAAGCCCCGGCUAACUACGUGCCAGCCGCCGCCGUAA